rnacentral:rRNA from 1 species
UACGUAGGGUGCAAGCGUUGUCCGGAAUUAUUGGGCGUAAAGAGCUCGUAGGCGGUCUGUCGCGUCGGCUGUGAAAACCCAGGGCUCAACCCUGGGCCGUGCAGUCGAUACGGGCAGACUAGAGUCCGGCAGGGGAGACUGGAAUCCUGGUGUAGCGGUGAAAUGCGCAGAUAUCAGGAGGAACACCGAUGGCGAAGGCAGGUCUCUGGGCCACUACUGACGCUGAGAGCGAAAGCAUGGGGAGCGAACAGG